ensembl:rRNA 5S_rRNA 5S ribosomal RNA
CUCUAUUUCUGUACCAUCCUGAACUUGCUUGAUCUUGUCUGAUCUACGAAGGUAAAGAGGGUUGGGCAUGGUUAGUACUUGGCUGAGAGAAUACCUGGUUGUAAAGG